UACGAAGGGGGCUAGCGUUGUUCGGAAUUACUGGGCGUAAAGGGCGCGUAGGCGGCCGUUUAAGUGAGGUGUGAAAGUCCUGGGCUCAACCUGGGGACUGCACUUAAUACUGGAUGGCUUGAAUUCGGGAGAGGAUAGCGGAAUUCCCAGUGUAGAGGUGAAAUUCGUAGAUAUUGGGAAGAACACCGGUGGCGAAGGCGGCUAUCUGGACCGACAUUGACGCUGAGGCGCGAAAGCGUGGGGAGCAAACAGG
rnacentral:rRNA from 1 species